rnacentral:rRNA from 1 species
UGGCUCAGAUUGAACGCUGGCGGCAGGCUUAACACAUGCAAGUCGAACGGUAACAUAAAGAAGCUUGCUUCUUUGAUGACGAGUGGCGGACGGGUGAGUAAUGCUUGGGAAUCUAGCUUAUGGAGGGGGAUAACUACGGGAAACUGUAGCUAAUACCGCGUAGAAUCGAGAGAUGAAAGUGUGGGACCUUCGGGCCACAUGCCAUAGGAUGAGCCCAAGUGGGAUUAGGUAGUUGGCGAGGUAAAGGCUCACCAAGCCGACGAUCUCUAGCUGGUCUGAGAGGAUGACCAGCCACACUGGGACUGAGACACGGCCCAGACUCCUACGGGAGGCAGCAGUGGGGAAUCUUCGGCAAUGGGGGGAACCCUGACCGAGCAACGCCGCGUGAGUGAAGAAGGUUUUCGGAUCGUAAAGCUCUGUUGUAAGAGAAGAACGAGUGUGAGAGUGGAAAGUUCACACUGUGACGGUAUCUUACCAGAAAGGGACGGCUAACUACGUGCCAGCAGCCGCGGUAAUACGUAGGUGGCAAGCGUUGUCCGGAAUUAUUGGGCGUAAAGCGCGCGCAGGCGGAUCAGUCAGUCUGUCUUAAAAGUUCGGGGCUUAACCCCGUGAUGGGAUGGAAACUGCUGAUCUAGAGUAUCGGAGAGGAAAGUGGAAUUCCUAGUGUAGCGGUGAAAUGCGUAGAUAUUAGGAAGAACACCAGUGGCGAAAGCGACUUUCUGGACGAAAACUGACGCUGAGGCGCGAAAGCCAGGGGAGCGAACGGGAUUAGAUACCC